rnacentral:rRNA from 1 species
GGUUAAGCGACUAAGCGUACACGGUGGAUGCCCUGGCAGUCAGAGGCGAUGAAGGACGUGCUAAUCUGCGAAAAGCGUCGGUAAGGUGAUAUGAACCGUUAUAACCGGCGAUGUCCGAAUGGGGAAACCCAGUGUGUUUCGACACACUAUCAUUAACUGAAUCCAUAGGUUAAUGAGGCGAACCGGGGGAACUGAACAUCUAAGUACCCCGAGGAAAAGAAAUCAACCGAGAUUCCCCCAGUAGCGGCGAGCGAACGGGGAGGAGCCCAGAGCCUGAAUCAGUGUGUGUGUUAGUGGAAGCGUCUGGAAAGGCGCGCGAUACAGGGUGACAGCCCCGUACACAAAAAUGCACAUGCUGUGAGCUCGAUGAGUAGGGCGGGACACGUGGUAUCCUGUCUGAAUAUGGGGGGACCAUCCUCCAAGGCUAAAUACUCCUGACUGACCGAUAGUGAACCAGUACCGUGAGGGAAAGGCGAAAAGAACCCCGGCGAGGGGAGUGAAAAAGAACCUGAAACCGUGUACGUACAAGCAGUGGGAGCCCUGAUUUAUCAGGGUGACUGCGUACCUUUUGUAUAAUGGGUCAGCGACUUAUAUUCUGUAGCAAGGUUAACCGAAUAGGGGAGCCGGAGGGAAACCGAGUCUUAACUGGGCGUUAAGUUGCAGGGUAUAGACCCGAAACCCGGUGAUCUAGCCUGGGCAGGUUGAAGGUUGGGUAACACUAACUGGAGGACCGAACCGACUAAUGUUGAAAAAUUAGCGGAUGACUUGUGGCUGGGGGUGAAAGGCCAAUCAAACCGGGAGAUAGCUGGUUCUCCCCGAAAGCUAUUUAGGUAGCGCCUCGUGAAUUCAUCUCCGGGGGUAGAGCACUGUUUCGGCAAGGGGGUCAUCCCGACUUACCAACCCGAUGCAAACUGCGAAUACCGGAGAAUGUUAUCACGGGAGACACACGGCGGGUGCUAACGUCCGUCGUGAAGAGGGAAACAACCCAGACCGCCAGCUAAGGUCCCAAAGUCAUGGUUAAGUGGGAAACGAUGUGGGAAGGCCCAGACAGCCAGGAUGUUGGCUUAGAAGCAGCCAUCAUUUAAAGAAAGCGUAAUAGCUCACUGGUCGAGUCGGCCUGCGCGGAAGAUGUAACGGGGCUAAACCAUGCACCGAAGCUGCGGCAGCGACACUGUGUGUUGUUGGGUAGGGGGAGAGCGUUCUGUAAGCCUGCGAAGGUGUGCUGUGAGGUAUGCUGGAGGUAUCAGAAGUGCGAAUGCUGACAUAAGUAACGAUAAAGCGGGUGAAAAGCCCGCUCGCCGGAAGACCAAGGGUUCCUGUCCAACGUUAAUCGGGGCAGGGUGAGUCGACCCCUAAGGCGAGGCCGAAAGGCGUAGUCGAUGGGAAACAGGUUAAUAUUCCUGUACUUGGUGUUACUGCGAAGGGGGGACGGAGAAGGCUAUGUUGGCCGGGCGACGGUUGUCCCGGUUUAAGCGUGUAGGCUGGUUUUCCAGGCAAAUCCGGAAAAUCAAGGCUGAGGCGUGAUGACGAGGCACUACGGUGCUGAAGCGACAAAUGCCCUGCUUCCAGGAAAAGCCUCUAAGCAUCAGGUAACAUCAAAUCGUACCCCAAACCGACACAGGUGGUCAGGUAGAGAAUACCAAGGCGCUUGAGAGAACUCGGGUGAAGGAACUAGGCAAAAUGGUGCCGUAACUUGGGAGAAGGCACGCUGAUAUGUAGGUGAAGCGACUUGCUCGUGGAGCUGAAAUCAGUCGAAGAUACCAGCUGGCUGCAACUGUUUAUUAAAAACACAGCACUGUGCAAACACGAAAGUGGACGUAUACGGUGUGACGCCUGCCCGGUGCCGGAAGGUUAAUUGAUGGGGUCAGCGCAAGCGAAGCUCUUGAUCGAAGCCCCGGUAAACGGCGGCCGUAACUAUAACGGUCCUAAGGUAGCGAAAUUCCUUGUCGGGUAAGUUCCGACCUGCACGAAUGGCGUAAUGAUGGCCAGGCUGUCUCCACCCGAGACUCAGUGAAAUUGAACUCGCUGUGAAGAUGCAGUGUACCCGCGGCAAGACGGAAAGACCCCGUGAACCUUUACUAUAGCUUGACACUGAACACUGGUCCUUGAUGUGUAGGAUAGGUGGGAGGCUUUGAAGUGUGGACGCCAGUCUGCAUGGAGCCGUCCUUGAAAUACCACCCUUUAAUGGCUGGUGUUCUAACGUGGGCCCGUAAUCCGGGUUGCGGACAGUGUCUGGUGGGUAGUUUGACUGGGGCGGUCUCCUCCUAAAGAGUAACGGAGGAGCACGAAGGUUGGCUAAUCCUGGUCGGACAUCAGGAGGUUAGUGCAAUGGCAUAAGCCAGCUUGACUGCGAGCGUGACGGCGCGAGCAGGUGCGAAAGCAGGUCAUAGUGAUCCGGUGGUUCUGAAUGGAAGGGCCAUCGCUCAACGGAUAAAAGGUACUCCGGGGAUAACAGGCUGAUACCGCCCAAGAGUUCAUAUCGACGGCGGUGUUUGGCACCUCGAUGUCGGCUCAUCACAUCCUGGGGCUGAAGUAGGUCCCAAGGGUAUGGCUGUUCGCCAUUUAAAGUGGUACGCGAGCUGGGUUUAGAACGUCGUGAGACAGUUCGGUCCCUAUCUGCCGUGGGCGCUGGAGAACUGAGGGGGGCUGCUCCUAGUACGAGAGGACCGGAGUGGACGCAUCACUGGUGUUCGGGUUGUUGUCAUGCCAAUGGCACUGCCCGGUAGCUAAAUGCGGAAGAGAUAAGUGCUGAAAGCAUCUAAGCACGAAACUUGCCCCGAGAUGAGUUCUCCCUGAGACUUAGAGUCUCCUGAAGGAACGUUGAAGACGACGACGUUGAUAGGCCGGGUGUGUAAGCGCAGCGAUGCGUUGAGCUAACCGGUACUAAUGAACCGUGAGGCUUAACCUU